rnacentral:rRNA from 1 species
GGACCAAGGAGUCUAGCAUGUGCGCGAGUCAUUGGGACUAGCGAAACCUAAAGGCGCAAUGAAAGUGAAGGCACGCCUAGCGCGUGCCGAGGGAGGAUGGGUCGCGUCACGAUGCGGCCCCGCACUCCCGGGGCGUCUCGUUCUCAUUGCGAGAAGAGGCGCACCCAGAGCGUACACGCUGGGACCCGAAAGAUGGUGAACUAUGCCUGGUCAGGACGAAGUCAGGGGAAACCCUGAUGGAGGUCCGUAGCGAUUCUGACGUGCAAAUCGAUCGUCGGAACUGGGUAUAGGGGCGAAAGACUAAUCGAACCAUCUAGUAGCUGGUUCCCUCCGAAGUUUCCCUCAGGAUAGCUGGCGCUCGCGUUUGCGAGUCUCAUCCGGUAAAGCGAAUGAUUAGAGGCAUUGGGGUCGAAACGGCCUCAACCUAUUCUCAAACUUUAAAUGGGUGAGAUCUCCGGCUUGCUCGAACGUGAAGCCGCGAGAAUUUAUAAUAGUGGAUCAGAGUGCCAAGUGGGCCACUUUUGGUAAGCAGAACUGGCGCUGUGGGAUGAACCAAACGCCGAGUUAAAGCGCCUAAAUCGACGCUUAUGGGAUACCAUGAAAGGCGUU